CUGCACCCUGCUUGUGGCUCAGUGUUGAGCUAUGAAGAUGAGGUCACUGCUGCUUGUCUGCCUGAUUGUGGUCACACUGACUGUGGCUAUUGCUGCCCCCAAGCAAGAGGGGUCUGAAACGGGCAAAGGAAAAAAGGAACUCGAGAGCGGAUGUCAGCGAGCUACUGACCUCUGGAGGACAAAGGCCAGCCCUGCAGGUGUCCGCUUUUGAGCUCACAGGGCGCCUGGCCAGCAGGGUUCACUGUAGCGCAAUGAGGAGAAACAGUCCCUUUUGUUUUUGCUUCCCUAACCCACGGGAGUGCCAGAGCCAAUGUUACGCUCCCUUUGGAAUUCACAGCGAAGACCGACAACUUUGCACAGCCAGGACGCGAACCUGUGCUGUAUGACCACACAACCACGCUUUUACCAGAUUUGUAAAAAAAGACCUGCUUCUCCUGGUGUUGUAUCCUUGCUGGAUGGAGAUGGUGAAGAUGCUGGAGGCGGCUAAGCCAGCACAGUAUGGGGUAGAUUUGACAAGGGACAAGAAAAGAAGGCCACCUCCCCUCCAGACAUUCCGAUCAGAGAAAAGAGACAAUUCGAAGCCAACCCAAAGAGACGUCCAAGACCUUGUCUGGGCUGCCUAUCUGUAAUAUCAGCUAAAAAGGAGGCUCCUGUAACACAUACAGCUGAUCCUGUCCUAAUGUGAAGGUGGAUCCAACAAGUGACGUCGUGAUCCUGCCAGUCGAAGUGCAGAAAAAUCACAGUCAAAUGCAUGUUGGCCUGAUAACCAAAUAUUGUUCUUUUUUUUUUUUUUUUUUUUUUUAAUCCUGCGCUAGUAAAUCAUGUAUCUGUGUCAGGAUAGCAUAUACAGCAUGCUCAUGCCUAAGUAAACAAACAUUUUAAGAACAUAAGAAAGUUUACAAACGAGAGGAGGCCAUUCGGCCCAUCUUGCUCUUUUGGUUGUUAGUAGCUUAUUGAUCCCAGAAUCUCAUCAAGCAGCUUCUUGAAGGAUCCCAGGGUGUCGGCUUCAACAACAUUACUGGGGAGCGGGUUCCAGACCCUCCAAUUCUCUGUGUAGAAAAGUGCCUCCUAUUUUCUGUUCUGAAUGCCCCUUUAUCUAAUCUCCAUUUGUGACUCCUGGUCCUUGUCGAAAAAGUCCCCUGGGUCGACAUUGUCAAUACCUUUUAGCAUUUUGAAUGCUUGAAUCAGAUCACCGCGUAGUCUUCUUUGUUCGAGACUGAAUAGAUUCAAUUCUUUUAGCCUGUCUGCAUACGACAUGCCUUUUAAACCCGGGAUAAUUCUGGUCGCUCUUCUUUGCACUCUUUCUUGAGCAGCAAUAUCCUUUUUGUAACGAGGUGACCAGAACUGAACACAAUAUUCUAGAUGAGGUCUUACUAAUGCAUUGUAAAGUUUUAACAUUACUUCCCUUGAUUUAAAUUCAA